rnacentral:tRNA from 1 species
GGGCGCAUCUGCCAACUGGAUAGGCUCGGGUCUUCUAAGCCCGGAAACGAGGUUCGAGUCCUCGUGCGCCCGCCA